rnacentral:rRNA from 1 species
AAUCAACGCUGGCGGCGUGCCUCAGACAUGCAAGUCGAACGAUUAAACUCGCCUUCGGGUGAGAUAUAAAGUGGCGCACGGGUGAGUAACACGUAAGUAAUCUACCUUCGAGUGGGGAAUAACGUCCGGAAACGGACGCUAAUACCGCAUAAUGCAGCGGCACCUAAUGGUGACAGUUUUAAAGAUUUAUCGCUUGAAGAGGAGCUUGCGGCAGAUUAGCUAGUUGGUAAGGUAAUGGCUUACCAAGGCUACGAUCUGUAACCGGUCUAAGAGGACGGUCGGUCACACUGACACUGAAUAACGGGUCAGACUCCUACGGGAGGCUGCAGUCGGGAAUUUUGGGCAAUGGGCGAAAGCCUGACCCAGCAACGCCGCGUGAAGGAUGAAGUAUCUCGGUAUGUAAACUUCGAAAGAAUGGGAAGAAUCAAUGACGGUACCAUUUAUAAGCUCCGGCUAACUACGUGCCAGCAGCCGCCGUAACAC